rnacentral:rRNA from 1 species
ACGCACGCUGGCGGCGUGCUUCACCCCUGCCAGUCGCACGGAAAGGCCUCUUUCGGGGGGUACUCGAGUGGCGAACGGGUGAGUAACACGUGAGUAACCUGCCCUUGACUUUGGGAUAACUUCAGGAAACUGGGGCUAAUACCGGAUAGGAGCUCCUGCUGCAUGGUGGGGGUUGGAAAGUUUCGGCGGUUGGGGAUGGACUCGCGGCUUAUCGGCUUGUUGGUGGGGUAGUGGCUUACCAAGGCUUUGACGGGUAGCCGGCCUGAGAGGGUGACCGGCCACAUUGGGACUGAGAUACGGCCCAGACUCCUACGGGAGGCAGCAGUGGGGAAUAUUGCACAAUGGGUGGAAGCCUGAUGCAGCAACGCCGUGUGCGGGAUGACGGCCUUCGGGUUGUAAACCGCUUUCGCUCAUGACGAAGCUUUGUGUGACGGUAGUGGGUAAAGAAGCACCGGCUAACUACGUG